rnacentral:rRNA from 1 species
GAUGAACGCUGGCGGCGUGCUUAAUACAUGCAAGUCGAGCGAACAGACGAGGAGCUUGCUCCUCUGACGUUAGCGGCGGACGGGUGAGUAACACGUGGAUAACCUACCUAUAAGACUGGGAUAACUUCGGGAAACCGGAGCUAAUACCGGAUAAUAUAUUGAACCGCAUGGUUCAAUAGUGAAGGACGGUUUUGCUGUCACUUAUAGAUGGAUCCGCGCCGCAUUAGCUAGUUGGUAAGGUAACGGCUUACCAAGGCAACGAUGCGUAGCCGACCUGAGAGGGUGAUCGGCCACACUGGAACUGGGACACGGUCCAGACUACUACGGGAGGCAGCAGUAGGGAAUCUUCCGCAGUGGGCGGAAGCCUGACGGAGCGACGCCGCGUGAGUGAUGAAGGUCUUCGGAUCGUAAAACUCUGUUAUUAGGGAAGAACAAAUGUGUAAGUAACUAUGCACGUCUUGACGGUACCUAAUCAGAAAGCCACGGCUAACUACGUG